rnacentral:lncRNA from 1 species
ACAUACCGAGAAAGGAUUUGCCUUUCAAGAUCCAUCUUCAGUGGAUACGCACUUCCGUAAAUGUACCCCUAGAUUUUCCUAUUUAUCAGCUCCUGUGUUACCUUCGCCUAAAACCCAACAAGUAAACAAACCUAAUUCAACAAAAUUUAAUCACAUAUCUUCAAUUCUAAACAAACAGCAACACAAAUCAGGAGAAAGAAAUAGAGCAAUAGAGAGGGAAAAUAUCGAUUCCAAAGCAGAUUCGAGAGGUCGAUUCCCAUUUAGACAACGGUGAUUGUGCCAAAGCCUCGCCUUUGAAAUCCACUGAGACAUACAACGGCGAGAUCUCGUGCUUUCUAGUUGGAGACGAAGUCGAAGAUUCUGUAGAUUGGGAAUACCCGAGAUGCCAAGAAAAUGAUAAGAUCCAAAUCUCUAGGCCCUUAAUCAACCUGCAAGUAACAUAGAGGAUAGAGAUGGAGAGGGAAGGAAGAGAGAGAGCAUAGCUCUUGAAUUGUUUUUGUUUAUAUUUCUUUUGUGUAAAUUCUGAUCUGAUACAUUUGAGGGAGUUGCGCUCCUUUUAUAUAGCCUCCACACUUUUAAAUGCCAGUUGGCAUAUUAACAAUUCCUCAUAGUAAUAAAGCAUAAAACCUCAGUUAUAACUUGGGUCAUAACAAUACUCCCCCCUUGAAAAUUAGCCUUGUCCACAAGGCUAAAAAAUUUGGAUGUGGGAACUUGUUUGAAAGCAGCAACACAUUCCCUUGUGAUGGUCAUGUUCUCAAUUCUAGAUAUGCCCAUUGCAAUCCCAAUAUCAGCAAGUUUCAAAACAAGUGCAUCAUUCAGUGGUUUCAAAGCACUAGUUGACAUCUCAUGAAGGGCUUGCACGAUAUAGUUCCUUGAGCUAUCAUCCAGUGGUACAACAGUGCCAUCAAGCAACUGAACCUUAGUGCUUUUCUCAAGCAAAUUCUCUACAUCACCCUUCACUAGCAAUGACUCCUCCCCUGAAACAGAGUUGACAAUUACACCCGUGGAUUUCUUAUCGCGAUCAAACUCAAGGGUUGCAAUUCGGUGUUCAUAUUCACUCCACUUCUGGCAACAACCAAGAAAAUCCCUUCCAUUUGAUGAUUCCGGACUCUUGGACUCUUCAGAAAGGACCAUCUUCUCAACUAAAAACUUUGGAGCUGCCUUAGCAGGCAUUCCAUGAGCAACAUACUUCUAUUCUGCAUGUUCAAUGCUAUCAUUAUUGUAGACAGCAGCUACCUUUGCGAUCAUUUGAAGAUUAGCAUCCAUUUGACCAGUUGGCCAGUUAAGAAUUUCACCAUCAAGUAGAUUGUAUGUAAUUCCAUCCACCCUAAACUUCAGUAGUAUAAUAGGCCUAGGACUCCAAGCUACAAAUUUUGCCACUGCCAUCUGGUUUGUAGUCAUGGUCUGUGUUUUAUCAUAAGCUCCAAUCAACACAUUUGCUACUUGAAUAUCAUAGGUUGAGCACUGCCAUUCCCUUUCCAAGUAGGAAGCAAAGUGAUGUCUGUGAACAAUCAGCACAACAUGACCACUACCCUUUUUUGGCAUGAUUUUCUUAUCAAAUUUGAAGGUCCAAUCUAUUCCUAUAAGUUCAGCCUUGUUCACUUCAACCUUUGAAGGCUGAAUCUCCUCCAAUCUCAAAACAAGCUUCGUUAAAGUGCAAGCCAUAAUUGACUAAAGCAAAAAUUCACAAGAAUGCAGACAUUGUAAAUGUUUCACCUCAUGUGAUAUGUGGCCUUUAAACGAUUGAACUGACUCUGAGCCUUUUUCCCCACCUUUUAUGCAGUGCACCAUGCUAACAAGUUCAAUGCCGAAAAGGGCUUUAACAGAGUCAGGACUUUCACUAGAACCUGACCAUCGUAGAGAAUGAGAAAGGGUGUAUAAAAGCUGUGACCAACAUUUUUUUGCAUCCUGUUGCAUGAAGGUACUAUUAUACUGCUGACCAAAAUGAGGGUAUUUGUUGAGCAAUACCAUCCAAAAUUGCACAGGUGCCAUAGCCUUGAUACCUUUAUCCAAUUCACUAAUUAAAGCACAAGUUGUAAUAGUCAGCCUAUGAGAAGUCUGAUCCCCCCAUCAUUUCUUUCAGAAUGAGAAUACUUGAUCAAAGCUGAUUUCAACUCUGGAACAGAAUGCAGAAAAGGUAAGGUGGAGUUCAUAUAAUAGGUGUUUCCCAAGUAAAAUAAACCAACAUCAUAAAUCAAGUUAAUAGGUACUUUAACAAGGUUUUCUUCAAUGGGUACUUUGCUGCUAGGAUCCCCACGCAAAUCACCCUGGGCAUCUAACUCAAUAUCAUCCAAACCAACAAAGUGUGUAGUUUGAUUUAUGCCAACCACGCUUUUAGCUAACCAAAACAUCACAAUGUCUACACGGGAAGAUUUUUCAUCUAAGCCUUUGCUUUCAAUAAUCUUGAUCUCAACGUGGGAUACAUUAGCUUUUUCUUCACAAGAAAUUUCUUUAACCAUUUGUUUAAUCCAUAUGGCAAUAGUAGCAAAACCAUGUUUCAGGAUCAACUACUUCAGAUAGGAAAACCAACAUCUGUUAGAAACAUGCCGGCAAAGUUGCACAGAUGCAACCCACUAGUCAGGGAUGACAUGAACCCUUGGACAUGAUUCACACCUAUAUUCAAUUACUGCUCCACUAAGAGUAUUCAUAAUACUGUUAUUGAUGUAGGACCUUAACAAGUUGAGAGCUAAAUAACCAUAUAUUAAGAGCUUCAAAUAUACCAAGGCAUCCAUAUUGCUCCACAAUGACUGAGAUGCAACAUAGACGUAGAGGGAUGGCUCAUAUAUAGUUAACUGGUUUGCACAACCACUAUUGAGAUUAGAGGUGAUAUGACAAGGAAUAAGCCUUUACAGGUGAUGUAUGAGAUAAUAAAUGAAAUUGAAAAGUGUUCCCAUAUUUUCGUCACCCCAUCUCUUAGACAUUUCAUCAAACAGGGUAGAUGCACACAAAUCCUUCUUCACAAACUUACCCACAAGAUACCAAUUAACCCAUCCAAAUUUAUCUUUCAGGUAUGCACCAUAGUUAUCAGUCAUAAGAGAAGGGAACUUAGCCUCCGAAGUUGUUGAAAUGAUACUCAAAUUAAGAACUACCUCAGGUCCAUUUUUCAUACUAUCGGAGAACAAGUGCUUAUGGAGUAGCUGCGGAGCAGAGAUCAUCAUCUUCGAUUCCGGAAGCAAAACUACAGAUGCAACAGACUUGUUCGAUUGUGGCUUGACGGUCGAAUUUUCCAGUGUUCGCAACUUCUGUGAAGAUGAGAGCAAUGGCGGAAUGGAAUGGUCGUGGAUUAUCGAUGGAAUUCGAAGUGGGUUGCCGUCUUCGUUGUGAGCAAGGAAGAAAAAAUCGAUAAUAUCGGCGAUAUAUCGCCGAUAUUAUCGGUUUUUCAGGGGACCGAUAUUUUAAUAGGUAUCCAAAGGGUUUUCGUGAUAAUAUCGCGAUAUUUUUUGAACUGGGCUACUCGGAGAAGAACGCCGGAGCUUCUACAGCUCCGGCCGACUGUAAAACAGGACCCUAGACUCCAAUCUAGGUAUGAAAAUGAAAUAGAAGACGAGAUGAAGAGAAGAGAAGAGAUGGGGGGGAGAACCGGAGAAGGAUCGAGAGACUGAGGGAGAAGAAAAAGGAUGGAGAGACUGAGGGAGAAGGAUGGACGGAGAGACUGAGGGAGAAGGAUCGAGAUCGAGGCUGAGGGAGAAGGAUGGACGGACGGAGAGACUGAGGGAGAAAGAUCGAGAUCGAGGCUAAGGGAGAAUGAUGGAAGGAUUGAGAGACUGAGGGAGAGAAGGAUCGAGAUCGAGGCUGAGGGAGAAGGAUGGACGGACGACGGAGAGACUGAGGGAGAGAAGGAGAGACUGCGUGUGUGGUGUGUGCGGUCUAUGUGUGUUGCAAAGAAGAGAUGAGGGGGCAGAAGAAGAAACAAGGAGACUUUGGGAGAAGGAUCGAGAGAGCCCUGCACGAAUCCCUCUACAUUUCUAAAAGAUAAUUAAAUAUGAGGAAAUUGUGAGAUCUGACAUGUGGCUAGAAAUGCCGUGUGAAAGUUUCCAUAUUGCACAUGUAUAUAUUAUUGUUAGUUUUUCUCUUACUUUUCAAAUUGUUUGUUCCACAUUUGUUAAUUUCAUUAUAUAUAAAUGAUUUUGAUGUGUUUAAAUUUUUUUCAUUAAUUACUACAUAUUUUCUACAUUCACAAUGUUUGCCAGCUCGCUAUAUUAUCAACUUAAAUCAAUUAAAUUCAUCAUGCAAUGCAUUUCCUUCCAAUUUUUUGUGAUAAACUAAUAGAUAAUUGACUAAAUAAACAUCCUGCAAAGUUUCAAUAAAAAUUUCCAAGUUUUUCUUACAAUUUCCAUGGUUUCCAUGUAAUUUUUAUCGAUAUCGAUAUUAUCCCAAUAUUUCCAUCGAUAUUUCCGUGUUUUCGGACUACCGAUAUUUCCGAUAUUACCGAUAUUUUCUUCCUUGGUUGUGAGGGUUUUGGUGACCGACCUCGAUCGAUGCAGGUUCCUUGGAACACAUCGAGGCUGGAUCAGAAUCUCCCUCGACGCCGAGAGCCAAGUCAUGGUGUAACUAAGCAAGGUUACUGCGGAUUUCGACGAGUACAGGAUUCACAGCCUUGUGAAUGACAAUGAGUGCAGAAUCCAUAGCUUCGCGGAUCUUAUCACGGAUCGCAGCUCAUAUCGAAGCUUCAAAUGAGUCGAUUGCAGAGAGGUGUGCAUCCAUGGCAGGAAGAUGGGUCGGGUGGGCGUGCACAUGAGGGAAACCAGGAUUCGAGAAGGAUGAUACCAUUGAUAAGAUCCAAAUCUUUAGGCCCUUAAUCAACCUGCAAGUAACAUAGAGGAUAGAGAUGGAGAGGGAAGGAAGAGAGAGAGCAGAGCUCUUGAAUUGUUUUUGUUUAUAUUUCUUUUGUGUAAAUUCUAAUUUGAUACAUUUGAAGGAGAUGCGCUCCUUUUAUACAACCUCUACACUUUUAAAUGCCAGCUGGCAUAUUAACAAUUCCUCACAGUAAUUAAGCAUAAAACCUCAGUAAUAACUUGGGUCAUAACAGAAAAAAAAAAAAAUAGGGUUCAAAUAGUGUAUGCAAACAAAUGAGUUGAUGUUCGACUACUAGGGUUUGCUUAGGGAGAUGGUUGCGAUUCCAAAGAAGAUUUUUUUUUUGGGUGGGGGGGGGCAGUGGGGAUUUUGGAGAGAGAAAUGAGUAGUUUGGGGUUUCGGAGAAAUCGUUGAUGGAACCGAAUGGGUGAGACUUGGUAGUUGGUGGCGUUAGAUCUGGAAAUGGUAGAGAUUGGGGUUUUUUUUUUCAAUUAGAGAAGAUUGGGAUAAAGAUUACUACACUAUAUGUGGGAGCAUGUACAAUACAUAUGACAAUAAACCAGGUGUGAUUUGUUAAAAUUUUAAGGCUUUCCAGAACUUGUGGGUGUUUCCUUCACUGUACUUAUUAAAUUAAAUGGAACUUUCAUGAAAAGGGCUUGGACUAAGUUUAUUUUAAUAAAAAACCAUGCUAUAACUUUAUUUAAUUAAAAAGACUUAAAUUUUAAUGAAAAACCCUUAAAUUUUAAUAAAAAGGACAAAAUAACUUAAAUUUUAAUGAAAAGGACAUAAUUUUAAUAUUUAAAAAUUUAAAAAAAAAAAAUUGACGCGUGGACUGAUGUGAAAAUUACUUGACACACAAAUUAACCCUCUUUUUGACAAUUGUAGUAAAGUAUGUAAGUAGGGUAUCGUUCUAGGCCGGGGAUUAGGAGGGAUUGCUAAUCUACUCUAAAUUAAUUUAAAAAUACUAAACAAGACUCAAGGAUACAAAACUAGGCUAAAAACUCUAAUAACUCGAAACACACUUAGAAUGACUCAAAAUAAUGAAAACAAUCAAAUUAGACACUAGGAACUGAAAUGGACGGAAAUUGAAUUAAAAGACUAACAACAAUGAAAACUAAUUAAAUAAUAUAAUUUAAUAAUGGGGGUUUUGGUUUUGACGAGAAAUAAAUUAAACUUAAAUAAAUUACAGAAUUGACAAAAACAUGAAAUUAAAGUGAAAGGAUAAAUGACGGACUAGCUAGAGGGUUCUUCUCCACACAUGACACAUAUGCAACCUAAAUUGAUUUUCAGUUGUUCUUUCAAUAAAUUAUGAAUCUCAAUACUUCAGAUUAACCAUGAACAUCAUUUUUUUAAUCUUCAAGUUUUCCUUAAGUUAUUGAAUUGGACGGGAAAACGCAUACAACAAUUCAAAACAUUCUUCAAAAGUCCCCUACGUGAAAAGCACAAUAGAGAUACAAUCAAAGAUCAUUAAACUUUGUGAAAACUAUAAGCAUUGACGAGGCAUUCGUAACUAUGAAAAGCAUGAUACUCUUGCCAAGAAUUUACUUAACAUGAUUGUGACUAGCAACCUUUACUACUUGUGAAUAUAAGUUCAUAAAGAUUAGGUGAAAUUCACUUAUAUUCUAGCAUCAAAUUCAUGCAUGUAAAUUAAGUAUGCAUUCUUAAUCGACAUACAAAAAUAAGUUAUCAAUCAAGCAGUUAAGCAAAUUAAAUCACAACUCAGAAAUCACAACUGAAGGUAAUCAAUUCAUAUUACAAAUAUAUUCAUGGCUUUGAAUUAACCUCUAACCAAAAUAAAUUUAGUUACACAUUAUUAUCAAAUUAAACCAAAAGUAGAACAUGGGUUUGAGAGGAUAAAACCAAGAAAAAUGGAGUGAAGUUUUGCUCUUUGCCGUGCUUCUGCCCUCUGUGCUCUGUCCCUUCUCUGGUUUCUGCUCCUCGUCAGUCUCUCUCACCCAUCUGCCCCCCUGGACUCCCUCCUUUCUUUCUAUAUUUUUUUCUUUUUUUUUUUUCUCUGGCAGCCUCACUGCCUUCCCUUUCUCCUCGCUGCCAAAGCAGCCUACCUCCCUCCUCGAAUCUCACUCUCUGUGCUCACCUCCCCCAGCUGCAAAAGCAGCUAUCUGACUCUCUGACUUCUCUCCGUACCAGCUGCCAAGGGCAACUGUUUUUAUUCCCCCUUUUCCCUCCUUUUCUCCCCCCGUGUCUCACGUUUCCUGCUUCUCUUCUUUUCCCCUGCCAAGGGCCCGUGUCUCCCUUGGAUUCUUCUUUUCUGCCUUUCUGCUGGUCUCUCUCUUGGAUUCUUCUUUUUAUUUUUCUUUCUUUAUUCUUUCAGCAAGACGUUGUUGUAUUGCUCCAACUUUUCUAUCAUUUGCACAAAAUCAACCCCAAAUAUGAGCCCAGCAUGAUCCACUCCAAGAAAGUGUGCGAUAAGAACAUCCUAAUCUUCUUGGUACAAGAAUGGAAGAAGGUGGUCAAUGCAUCCAAUUUUGACGAAUUUAUUACAUAAAAUUUCACUUGUUCUAUUUUUAUUUUCUUUGCAUAACAAAUCCUAUAAACACAAAAAUAACGUAAAUAGCUCAAAAAUAUAAGGAACUAACUAAGAAAAGACGAGUGAAUUCGAAGUAAAAAUAUAUAUAAAUAUGAUCCGAUCAAAUACCCCCACACUUAACUUUUGCUAGUCCUCGAGCAAAACAAAGAAAACAUGAAAAAGUAAUAACAUGAAAAACAUUAGCUUCCCUCUAUGUGACCCUCAUAUAAUUUCAUUCAAGAAAACAAAUCAUCAAGAACCAUAGCUAGCACCAAGGAACUAAUCCAAGUUCAUCUUCCUUAUUCAAAUAUUAGCAGUAAUCUUUGAAUCAUCCUUGAAGUAGUGUGUGAGAUAGCCAUGCUAAUGCAAUUUCAAGUUUUUAUUUUUAAAAUCAUCAUAUGCAAACUAGCGACCUUCUCACGGGAUAUGCACUCAAUCACACAUGUGUUUAGUUUUAAUGUGUUUCGCUCAAAGAAUCAAAGGUGAAAUUUCUACUAUAAGCUUGCAUAAAGAUCUCAUCUCCACAAUCAUAAUUGCAAAACUGAAAUCAAGAGGACUUUUAUUGGAUGUAAUGAGGUUUAGGGAGAGGGUUAUUGAAAUGAAAGAAUAGGUAAACACAAGUUCCAAGCUACAUUGCAAGCAAUUCUUUUGUUUAGAUUUAUAAGAACUCAAUCUUUACAGAGAUUCUUCUAGCACCUCCAACCACACCCUUAACUGAAACUUGAAAAACUUUUUAUUUUCUUUGUAUACAAUCUUUCUUUUUAUUUUAUUUUUUAUUUAUUUUAUUUUUUUUAUUUUUUAAUAUACAAACAUGAAACACCCCCACACUUAUUCUUUUGCCAAACACCUUCAAAGUACUUCACAAACAUUUCUCAUAAGACAAUCUCGCAUUGCUCACUAGCUUGCUUGGAAAGGGUAAGGAAAAAUGUUUCAGGUAUAAGGGUAGACAUAUCUGGUGAUAAGAAAUAAAAGGCUCAACAUACACGGCUCAAAUUGGCAAUCUAAUGAUAUCAUUUUUAUUUGGGAAACAUGGUUAUUUGGGCCAUAGUGGUAAACCUAAUGCCUCUAUCAUUUCCAAGUUCAUGCAAUCAAUGACAAACAUUUCGAAAGAUCGUUACGCAAGUUCUAGAGAUGUAUCUCACAUAAGUUCAUCACACAUGAAAGAAUAGGAGUGUAUGAAAAAUGCACACACUUUCAAUCGGCUCAAAAACUCACAUAGGAUAUAUAUGGUCACUAAAUUCACAUAUGAAGCUUUAAUUCAUACUUUAGUUUCACAUUAACAAGGCUAUGUGCAUUUGGUUUUUCAAAGAUGAUCAAACAUGUACAAAACUAACAAGAGAAUUAGGAAUUUCACAAAACACAUGUUAACUAAGUUCUUGAUGAUCAUGGUUCAAAUUUGAUCCAAUUAUAUCAUUGGGUCGGGAAACUAACAAAAAUCUAAUUCAAAACAAUAAGGGAAACAAGACAAUAUUUUUGGAUUUUUAAAUUUUCCGAUUUUUUUUUUUUUAAAGAAAACAAAACUAAUUAAGAAAACAAAAAGCAACAACACGGAAACAAAGGAAAUUCUAGAGAUGUCUACCCCCACACUUAAACUGGACAUUGUCCCCAAUGUCAGAAAACACUAUAAUGCAAAUAAAAAUAGAAUAAAAUAAAUAAAUAAUAAGAAACAAAAUAACGCAAUUGGACUGAAAACUUCCCUAGUUUGCAGUAAAACCAAGUGAUGACCCCCCAAGCUAAAAUUCUGCAAUCAACUUCAAGGGUGGAAAUAACCAAAAGUUCCUGCAAAGAAAAGAAAUAAUUCAGUUAAGUAAUGCUAGAAAAAAAAAAUGCAAACGAAAAAUUGAAAAUCACGAUAAAAGACAAUGAAUAGAACUAAUAAGUGAUCAUUGGUCGUGCUUGUUGACUUUCCACAGCUUUCCUCUUGAACAGGGUGACACUUAGCUUUUACUUGCAAGUGAUGAUUUGAUGAUAUUGUACGGUGAGGCUUUGCUCUUUGGCGAUGUUGUUGUUCCUUAUUUGUUCUCCAAGCAGAUGUGGCAGCUUCUCUAGUUCUUCAUCUCAGACUCCUUCCGCUGGGAUGAUUGUGCAAGCUGCAUUCUUCUCUGCUUGUUUCUUCUGCACAACGGGCAGGCACGAGGGAGAGGUGUUGGUCUGUUUCUUUCUUCAAUCUUUCCAAGUGCCCACCUCUUGCUCUCUUUCUCCUUGUCCUUAGUUGAGGAUGAAUCAGCACGUUGUCUCCACAUGCUUCGAGGUAUCAUCUUCACUUCCCUUAUAAGUGAGAAACAAAGCGAAAGCAUAAGAUGAUGAGUACUCGAGAGCAAGGGCUGGCUGGAGAAAGGACAGGGAGAAAGCAUGAUAUGAGAUACUCUUGCUUUCAACCUUCAUGAUAUGAAAUACUUUUGCUUUGGAUGGGUUGUUUGCAGGGGUAUCCCAGGGGAUGAAAAAUACAGAGUGACUUGAGAUGGUUUGUUGGAAAGCCAUUUCAGAGAGGAAGAAGUGCUGAGAGGGUGUGUCUUUGCUGUGGAAGGCGAAGGUAGAUACUUAUAGGACUUUUCUUCACAACCGGAACUAUUCCCUCACUCAUUGUCGGCAGCCGGUGGAUUGAUGAAUAGUACAAAUUACGCGCUUUCUGACAAAGCUGCCCGUAAUUUCCGCAAAGCUGCAAGUUGCAUGUGACGAGUGACGACACGUCUGGACAAAUUGAUCUUUUGAAAUCCGGGGUUCGGCUCGUGGUUUCUGAGCAAGCCCAAAUUUUAAGAAAUGAAACGCCUCUUUUGAGAAAAGAAUCCGGCUUUUGAGAAAGGAGCCCCGACUCUUCGAUUUGCGAGAUGACGCCUCUCUGAGGAGCGCCUCUUUGAUGUCUUCUUUUUAUAGAGGCGUUAAUUUUGUUCCGCAACACACUUGAGCUCCCUCCUGUAAACACUCCCUUCUUGCACUUCCAAAAUCUUAAUCAGUCCGACUUUCUUAUUUCUUCACCACCUCUGAAAAAUGUCUGGCCCUUCCGAUCGUCGUUUUGACUUGAACAUUGGUGAAGAGGCAGCUCCGCCUUCACCAGACAACAUAUGGCGCCCAUCCUUCAUAUCCCCUACCGGUCCCCUUACCGUGGGGGAUUCGGUGAUGAAAAAUGACAUGACCGCUGCGGUGGUGGCCCGGAACCUUGUCACCCCCAGAGAUAACAGACUGCUCGCUAGACGAUCUGAUGAAUUGGCGGUUAAGGAGUCUCUGGCUCUUAGCGUGCAGUGUGCGGGUUCUGUGUCCAACAUGGCCCAACGCCUAUUUGCUCGAACCUGUCACGUUGAAUCGUUGGUGGCUGAAAUACAGAGUCUCAAAGAGGAGAUUAGAGGACUCAAGCAUGAAAAUAAACAAUUGCACAAGCUUGCACACAACUAUGCCACAAACAUGAAGAGGAAAACUGACCAGCUGCAGGAAAAUGAUGGUCAGAUUUUACUUGAUCACCGGAGGUUUGUGGGUUUGUUCCAACCGCAUCUGCCUUCGUCUUCUGGGGCGGCACCGCGUAGUGAAGCUCCAACUGAUCAACCUCUGUUGCCUUCUCCUUCUGUGGCCCCGCCGACUGCUGAAGCUCCGCCGACUACUGAAGCACCACCUGACCAAUGAAAGCUAUUAGUUUACACAUCAUUGUAAAAUAUUUUUACUUUUAUGUUUUUUUUUUUUUUUUUUUUUUUUAGGUGUGUUUUUGUUUUGUUUUGUUUUUUUUUUAAAUCAAUGUAAAAUAUGUAAAUCAAUGUAAAAAGACUUUGUUUAACCUUCCCCCACACUUAAACUAAAUAACACAAACUCACAGAAAUCAACCAAAUAACACAACUAACUAAACAAAACAAAAUGAAAGCAGUAAAGAUAAGGGUGUAAGUUGAAUGCUUGGGUUGCCUCCCAAGAAGCGCUUGCUUUAACGUCCGCAGUCGGACGAAUCUUUCCUUUAAACUCCCCUCGGCUCCAAAGCAUGGAAUUUAUCUUUUAAUGGGAGGUGAUACUUGAAAUGAUUCGGCAAUGGUUUAAAUUCAAGAGUGGGUGCCUGAAUCAUCAAAAUCAGAAACAUGUUAGUACAAAUUAAAAUUAAAAUUGGAGAAGAUGGCUUACUUUCUUUUUCCGACACAAACUCAAUGACAAACACCACAUCUUUGAACAUUUCCGGGACUUUGAACUUGGCCAGGUUUACUAUGAUGGUUGUGGCUUGUCUCGUGUCAUCAAACUCAACUGCUUUGGGCUUGAUUGUCUCAUGCACACCCUCUUGGAUGUAUUCUUGAUAUGCUUCAACCACUUCAUUUUCUUGAAUCCCUUUUCUUGAUGUGCAAGGUUCUUUGAACGUUUCAAUACCAUCGGGAACUUGUUUUGGUGCGCCAAGAAUUGGGAUAUCACUUUGCACCUUUGUAAGAGCUUCCACAAUGUCUUUUUCACUCUCUUUGAUAUUUGGAAUAAAAAACCUGCACGGACAAAGGACAUUCGGUGGAAUAACAUUAGAAUGAAAUGAAAUUAGGACGUCCUUACUUGUGGUGGGUAGGUUAGAGGGCUUAAGGGGCUGCGGCAAGGGUUGUUCUACCCUUGCCGUGUGUAUGUCUGCUUCCUCCUCCUCAAUCAGCAGCUCCUCAUCCAUUUCUAGGCUAUGUUUGGACGUUUUUAGGCCAACUCCAACCUCCAUAGCACUUCCCAAAGUGAUAGCAUCGUGGAUUUCAAAAUCUUCCUUCGAAUUUUCAACAGUUGAGUUGGAGAGUUCACUUUGCUCUUGAAUUUGUACCAUGAAUUCCAUAAUCUCUCCCAUUUGACUCUUCAAUUUAUCCAACUCCUUGUCUUGAUUUUGUUGGUCCUGCGUCAAAGAGGUUAGUACUUGAAGAAUUUGAUCACUAUCCAUGGACAUACUUGAAUUAGAUUGGAAUUGUUGUGGGGUAUGCGGUGGUGGCUGUAUAGGUGUGGUGUAGAACUCCUCCUCUUGCUGCCAAUAUCCAUCUUGUUGGAAUUGUUGAGGUUCCCCCCACAUAUAAUUUGAAUGACCUCUCCAAUCUGAAUUGCAAGCGUUGGUAAACAUGUUGCCCCUUGAUUGGUUAUAGCCUUGAUAUCCCCAAACAUCUUCAUUUGCAGAAAAUUGAGGACUUUGAUAACCUUGCCCAUAGGGCACAUCAAAUGUAGGGGCACUUUGCAUUGUGGUCCUUUCGGCAUAUUGUGACAAUAGAGAAGUAAGAUUUGCCAGUUGAGCUUGAAUGCUAGCAAAAUCCAUGUCUUGCUCCAUUUGUACCUAAAAUCAAAGAAAAAGAAAAAAAAAAUCAAAUAUCAAAAGUAAAAUACACAAACACCAAUAUAAACAUAAACAAAAACAAAAAUAAAGGGAUUAGUAAAGUUGCUAAUCCCCGGCAACGGCGCCAAAAUUUGAUGUGAAAAUUACUUGACACACAAAUUAACCCUCUUUUUGACAAUUGUAGUAAAGUAUGUAAGUAGGGUAUCGUUCUAGGCCGGGGAUUAGGAGGGAUUGCUAAUCUACUCUAAAUUAAUUUAAAAAUACUAAACAAGACUCAAGGAUACAAAACUAGGCUAAAAACUCUAAUAACUCGAAACACACUUAGAAUGACUCAAAAUAAUGAAAACAAUCAAAUUAGACAAUAGGAACUGAAAUGGACGGAAAUUGAAUUAAAAGACUAACAACAAUGAAAACUAAUUAAAUAAUAUAAUUUAAUAAUGGGGGUUUUGGUUUUGACGAGAAAUAAAUUAAACUUAAAUAAAUUACAGAAUUGACAAAAACAUGAAAUUAAAGUGAAAGGAUAAAUGACGGACUAGCUAGAGGGUUCUUCUCCACACAUGACACAUAUGCAACCUAAAUUGAUUUUCAGUUGUUCUUUCAAUAAAUUAUGAAUCUCAAUACUUCAGAUUAACCAUGAACAACAUUUUUUUAAUCUUCAAGUUUUUCUUAAGUUAUUGAAUAGGACGGGAAAACGCAUACAACAAUUCAAAACAUUCUUCAAAAGUCCCCUACGUGAAAAGCACAAUAGAGAUACAAUCAAAGAUCAUUAAACUUUGUGAAAACUAUAAGCAUUGACGAGGCAUUCGUAACUAUGAAAAGCAUGAUACUCUUGCCAAGAAUUUACUUAACAUGAUUGUGACUAGCAACCUUUACUACUUGUGAAUAUAAUUUCAUAACGAUUAGGUGAAAUUCACUUAUAUUUUAGCAUCAAAUUCAUGCAUGUAAAUUAAGUAUGCAUUCUUAAUCGACAUACAAAAAUAAGUUAUCAAUCAAGCAGUUAAGCAAAUUAAAUCACAACUCAGAAAUCACAACUGAAGGUAAUCAAUUCAUAUUACAAAUAUAUUCAUGGCUUUGAAUUAACCUCUAACCAAAAUAAAUUUAGUUACACAUUAUUAUCAAAUUAAACCAAAAGUAGAACAUGGGUUUGAGAGGAUAAAACCAAGAAAAAUGGAGUGAAGUUUUGCUCUUUGCCGUGCUUCUGUGCUUAUGCCCUCUGUGCUCUGUCCCUUCUCUGGUUUCUGUUCCUCGUCAGUCUCUCUCACCCAUCUGCCCCCCUGGACUCCCUCCUUUCUUUCUAUAUUUUUUUCUCUUUUUUUUUUCU